CUACGGGAGGCUGCAGUCGGGAAUAUUGGACAAUGGGGGAAACCCUGAUCCAGCCAUGCCGCGUGUGUGAAGAAGGCCCUAGGGUUGUAAAGCACUUUUAGUAGUGGGGAAGGCUCAGUAGUUAAUACCUACUGGGAUUGACGUUAGCUACAGAAAAAGCACCGGCUAAUUUCGUGCCAGCAGCCGCGGUAAUACGAAAGGUGCAAGCGUUAAUCGGAAUUACUGGGCGUAAAGCGCGCGUAGGCGGCUUGGUAAGUUGGAUGUGAAAGCCCCGGGCUCAACCUGGGAACUGCAUCCAAAACUGCCUAGCUAGAGUAUGGUAGAGGAUGGCGGAAUUUCCUGUGUAGCGGUGAAAUGCGUAGAUAUAGGAAGGAACAUCAGUGGCGAAGGCGGCCAUCUGGACCAAUACUGACGCUGAGGUGCGAAAGCGUGGGGAGCAAACAGGAUUAGAUACCCGUGUAGUC
rnacentral:rRNA from 1 species